ensembl:snoRNA SNORD97 small nucleolar RNA, C/D box 97
CCACCCUGUGAUUAUAAAAAGACGCGUUAUUCUGAGGGACUCCACUGGAUGGCAGUUUUCUUACUUUGUCUGUUCUUUGUUUCUUCCUGUUCUUUCUCUCCUCCUUAUGCUUCUCUUCUAUCCCUCACUCUUAAACUGCCAGUCAGUCCGCUGACUGCGAUUAUGAGAUAUGAGGGUGU